GGGUGAGUAAUACAUCGGAACGUACCCUGUCGUGGGGGAUAACGAGUCGAAAGAUUCGCUAAUACCGCAUACGACCUGAGGGUGAAAGCGGGGGAUCGCAAGACCUCGCGCGAUAGGAGCGGCCGAUGUCGGAUUAGCUAGUUGGUGAGGUAAAGGCUCACCAAGGCGACGAUCCGUAGCUGGUCUGAGAGGAUGAUCAGCCACACUGAGACUGAGACACGGCCCAGACUCCUACGGGAGGCAGCAGUGGGGAAUUUUGGACAAUGGGGGCAACCCUGAUCCAGCCAUUCCGCGUGAGUGAAGAAGGCCUUCGGGUUGUAAAGCUCUUUCGGCAGGAACGAAACGGUCGUCUCUAACAUAGAUGGCUAAUGACGGUACCUGAAGAAGAAGCACCGGCUAACUACGUGCCAGCAGCCGCGGUAAUACGUAGGGUGCGAGCGUUAAUCGGAAUUACUGGGCGUAAAGCGUGCGCAGGCGGUUUCGUAAGACAGAUGUGAAAUCCCCGGGCUUAACCUGGGAACUGCGUUUGUGACUGCGAGACUUGAGUGCGGCAGAGGGGGGUGGAAUUCCACGUGUAGCAGUGAAAUGCGUAGAGAUGUGGAGGAACACCGAUGGCGAAGGCAGCCCCCUGGGUCGACACUGACGCUCAUGCACGAAAGCGUGGGUAGCAAACAGGAUUAGAUACCCUGGUAGUCCACGCCCUAAACGAUGCCAACUAGGUGUUGGGGAAGGAGACUUCCUUAGUACCGUAGCUAACGCGUGAAGUUGGCCGCCUGGGGAGUACGGUCGCAAGAUUAAAACUCAAAGGAAUUGACGGGGACCCGCACAAGCGGUGGAUGAUGUGGAUUAAUUCGAUGCAACGCGAAAAACCUUACCUACCCUUGACAUGCCAGGAACCCUGCUGAGAGGUGGGGGUGCCCGAAAGGGAGCCUGGACACAGGUGCUGCAUGGCUGUCGUCAGCUCGUGUCGUGAGAUGUUGGGUUAAGUCCCGCAACGAGCGCAACCCUUGCCGAUAGUUGCCAUCAUUAAGUUGGGCACUCUAUUGGGACUGCCGGUGACAAACCGGAGGAAGGUGGGGAUGACGUCAAGUCCUCAUGGCCCUUAUGGGUAGGGCUUCACACGUCAUACAAUGGUCGGUACAGAGGGUUGCCAAGCCGCGAGGUGGAGCCAAUCCCAGAAAGCCGAUCGUAGUCCGGAUCGGAGUCUGCAACUCGACUCCGUGAAGUCGGAAUCGCUAGUAAUCGUGGAUCAGCAUGCCACGGUGAAU
rnacentral:rRNA from 1 species